UGGGGAAUCUUGGACAAUGGGCGCAAGCCUGAUCCAGCCAUGCCGCGUGAGUGACGAAGGCCUUAGGGUUGUAAAGCUCUUUUGGCGGGGACGAUGAUGACUGUACCCGCAGAAUAAGUCCCGGCUAACUUCGUGCCAGCAGCCGCGGUAAUACGAAGGGGACUAGCGUUGUUCGGAAUUACUGGGCGUAAAGCGCACGUAGGCGGAUUGGUUAGUCAGGGGUGAAAUCCCGGGGCUCAACCUCGGAACUGCCUUUGAGACUGGAAGUCUUGAGUCCGGAAGAGGUGAGUGGAAUUCCUAGUGUAGAGGUGAAAUUCGUAGAUAUUAGGAAGAACACCAGUGGCGAAGGCGGCUCACUGGUCCGGUACUGACGCUGAGGUGCGAAAGCGUGGGGAGCAAACA
rnacentral:rRNA from 1 species